GCGUCGGUACUCAAGUGGUCAACGAGGGCAGACUGUAAAUCUGCUGGCUUAGCCUUCGCAAGUUCGAAUCUUGCCCGGCGCACAA
rnacentral:tRNA from 3 species